rnacentral:lncRNA from 1 species
GAGGCUUUGCUUAGACCGUUAGGUCAUUAGAAGUGUUUGUUUACCCAUUAAAAAUUUGUUAGGUCAUUAGUUUAUUAUAACAAAAUGAUCAAUUGUAUGAAGAUCAUGGGUUGUUCAUCCACGUGGAGAUUAGUAUAGUAUAACUAGAAGAUAGCUAUAGCAAAAUUGGAAAGUAACUAAUUUAUAGUAUGUGAUUCUUAGAUAAUAUUGGUACAGAACCAACGUCCUGACAGCA